UAGGGAAUCUUCCGCAAUGGACGAAAGUCUGACGGAGCAACGCCGCGUGAGUGAAGAAGGAUUUCGGUUCGUAAAACUCUGUUGUUAGGGAAGAAAAAAUGUAUAGUAACUAUAUACAAAAGAGACGGUACCUAACCAGAAAGCCACGGCUAACUACGUGCCAGCAGCCGCGGUAAUACGUAGGUGGCAAGCGUUGUCCGGAAUUAUUGGGCGUAAAGCGCGCGCAGGUGGUUUAGAAAGUCUGAUGUGAAAGCCCACGGCUCAACCGUGGAGGGUCAUUGGAAACUAAUAAACUUGAGUGCAGGAGAUAAAAGUGGAAUUCCUAGUGUAGCGGUGAAAUGCGUAGAGAUUAGGAGGAACACCGGUGGCGAAAGCGGCUUUUUGGCCUGCAACUGACACUGAGGCGCGAAAGCGUGGGGAGCAAACAGG
rnacentral:rRNA from 1 species